GGCAUACUUACUACAUUUUUUCUUGUUUAUAUAAUGAAUAAAUAUUUGUUGAAAUACUAGUAUGAGUAUGAGCCUUUCCUAGCUGAUUUGAUGAUGUCAAAUGAGGAAGAAGCAGAUUUGAGGGUUAAGGUACAAGAGAAAAUAUCAAUACUCUAACUUGAGUACGAAUGAAAAUUUAAGUAAAAGUAGAAAGACAUCAUAUUAAAUAGAAGACAUGAGCAAAGGCAAGAAUUGUCUUGAUGGAUAGACAUCAUUUUAACCAAUCCUAAGGCAGGCAUGGGAGGGGAUACACACCAGACAGAACAGUUCAAGCAAUGAAUAGGAUGGGUGAAUGAUGAACAGAUAAUAGGUGAUAACUAGCUAAAAGUAGAGUUAAGAAUAUUUUGAUUAAUGUCAAUCAUUUCAUGUAUUUUAUAAUUUUUAUAAUCACCAGGUCAUUAAAAAAGAUUUAUAAAAUAUUUGUAUACAACUUGUUCAAAGUCAUAAAGCUAUGAUUUGAACCCAGUUCUGAAGGAAUCAAAAUAAAUUUUUUUUCCAUUAUACUGUCUCUUUUGCACUUCAGUUUCUCUUUGACACUAUUUAUUUCAUCAUAUCAAGUAUUAUUUUCCUAAGUUAAUAACAUGGAAACAUAAUAGGAUCAAGCAAUGUUGUUCUCUCUGUGUUGUCUUUUUAAAUUACAGUAUUUACUCCGUUUCUUUCUUUCUUGCCUCUUUCUUUCUCUCUUUCCUCUCUCUGGAGCUUCUUUUUCCUCCUCCCUCUUUCCCUCUCUCCUUUCCUUCCUUCCUUUCUUCCUCCCUUCCUUCCUUUGUUCUUUUGCUUUUUUCCUUUCUUUCAUUAAGCACCAGUUAGGUUUCAGGAACUGUAUACAUGUAGAAGGAGAAUGAGCUGGUAAAGGAAACAUUGGAAUAAUCUGUAGUUUUCAAGCUUAAAAGCUUAGGAGGGAAAAUUAAAACUACAAAAAAAAAACUUGAGUUUCCCUUAUCGUUCUUUUGCAUAUUUUAGCUAAUCUUAGGCUUAACCCUUUAGUUUAGUUUUAUGUCUCUUUAUUGUGUGAUCCUCUUCUUGUCCUAAUGCAAAUUAUGGUUUAUAAAAAUAAUUUCAUCACAGUUCUUUGUGAGCCUACUUUGUUCCUAUCUUAAUUGAAUAUAUUUUAUUCUUAAUUGGGAUUGUUCCUAUUCUUGGCUUUCAGAAAAAAAGAAUAUAUCUAUUGUUUUUAUGUAUCAAAAAAUACUAUUUAAAAUAUCUGGUGGAAGAUGAUAUUUUUUCCUUGUUUUCAUACCUUCUACUUCAGCAAGCUGUUACCUUUUUUUAAAAUAUAUUCAGAAAUAAGCUAAGUUUAGCAGUUCCCUCAUAUUGUUUUAUUCAUCUCCUGAGAAAUAAAAUUUUCAACCAAGUAGAUAAAAAAUAUAUAUACAUGCUCUACUUUUUUUCAGAAUUAACCUUUGUCUUAGCUUCGUCUGCCUGGAAAUACACUCUGAAGGGAGAAUUGCAUUGGGAAGUACUCUCUGGAGAUAUUCUCUUAAGCAAGUGUGAUUCAGGAGUACUUACCAGCAUGUUCUUCUCAAGCAAGCAUCAGAGAAGCCUGAAUGGAGAUAUCUUUAUUUAUGGAUGAGAUUCAAUCAUAGCUAAGAAAUAAGGACAUCAUCAGACUUGACAGCUCCUCUCCUAAUGCACUUGGUUGAAGCCAAUUCAUGGUAAAGUGACAACGAAGCAUUUAAUGGACCUGGGCCUUUUCCUCUCUAUCCCAGGAUGGGAGAAGCUGAGUAUAAAUGACUCUGGAGGUUGAAGUCUGAGACUAGGGCAUUGGUGUGUUUGGUGUCUUCUGAGGCCUCUCUCUUUGGCUUGCAGAUGGCCACCUUCUAGCUAUGUCUUCACAUGGUCAUCCUUCAAUCUGUGUGGUCAGUGUGCUAAUCUCCUAUCUAUAGAGGACACCCAUCAUAGUGGAUUAGUGCUGCCCAUAAAUCACCUCAUUUUACUUUGAUUGCUUCUUUAAAUGUCCUAUCUCCAAAUAUAGUCACAUUCUGAGUUACUGGGGUUUGGGACUUCAACAUAUGAAUUUUGAAACAACACAAUUCAGUCCAGAAUAGAGAAAAAAAAAAGAGGAAAUAAGUAAAGUGUGAAAAUGAGUAAAGGUAAAUGGAAUCAAAGAGAGGCUGAAGGCUAGGGCAUAGAGGUUAAGGUAUAAAAGAAAUUCCUGCAUAGCUAGAACAUAUUAUAUAGGAAACAAAAGCUAAGAAA